AGCGAACGCUGGCGGCAGGCUUAACACAUGCAAGUCGAGCGGGCACCUUUCGGGGUGUCAGCGGCGGACGGGUGAGUAACGCGUGGGAACGUGCCCUCUGGUUCGGAAUAACUCAGGGAAACUUGAGCUAAUACCGGAUACGCCCUUUUGGGGAAAGGCUUGCUGCCGGAGGAGCGGCCCGCGUCUGAUUAGCUAGUUGGUGAGGUUACGGGUCACCAUGGGCAGGAUAAGUAGCUGGUCUGAGAGGAUGAUCAGCGACACUGGGAGUGAGAAACGGCCCAGACUCCUACGGGAGGCAGCAGUGGGGAAUAUUGGACAAUGGGCGCAAGCCUGAUCCAGCCAUGCCGCGUGAGUGAUGAAGGCCUUAGGGUUGUAAAGCUCUUUUAUCCGGGACGAUAAUGACGGUACCGGAGGAAUAAGCCCCGGCUAACUUCGUG
rnacentral:rRNA from 1 species